GAAGCCGUCCGCAAGAUUAGGGCUCCUUGAGGGCCGUCGCAGACUACGACGUUGAUAGGGCGCAGGUGUAAAGGCGGCGACGCCAAAGCCGAGCGCUACUAAUUGCCCGAACGUUUC
rnacentral:rRNA from 1 species